rnacentral:rRNA from 1 species
UGGGGAAUCUUGCGCAAUGGGCGAAAGCCUGACGCAGCGACGCCGCGUGAGUGAUGAAGGCCCUCGGGUUGUAAAGCUCUGUGGAGAGGGACGAAUAAGGGCUGGCUAAUAUCCAGUCUGAUGACGGUACCUCCUUAGCAAGCACCGGCUAACUCUGUGCCAGCAGCCGCGGUAAGACAGAGGGUGCGAACGUUGUUCGGAAUUACUGGGCGUAAAGCGCGUGUAGGCUGCCUCGAAAGUCAGGUGUGAAAGCCCUGGGCUCAACCCAGGAAGUGCACUUGAAACUUCGAGGCUUGAGUUCUGGAGAGGGUGGCGGAAUUCUCGGUGUAGAGGUGAAAUUCGUAGAUAUCGAGAGGAACACCGGUGGCGAAGGCGGCUACCUGGACAGAAACUGACGCUGAGACGCGAAAGCGUGGGGAGCAAACAGGAUUAGAUACCCCCGUAGUCC